GGAGGAAAUCAAUAAAUCUACCUAUAUUUAACGAAUUAGAUUACUUGGACAAAGAAAAGGAAUGAAUAAUAUUUUGGAGAGAAGAAUGCCUCCAAAUCCAAAUAGAAGAGUUCUUCGUUUCGCGAAGAAUCUGUAACCCACUCCCGCUCGAAUCGCACCAGCAAGGACCAAAGCUACAAAUGAGGCAUGAUACUCACACCCAAUGAACACUAGGAACUGAAGUACGAAAAAAAAAUGAUCGAGUUCAAGUCUAAGAGUCUCUAAAAACUCAUACGGCUGCGUUAAUCACUAAAACUGGUGCAGAAGAAAUCUUCAAUAGUAUAGAGAGCAAAAAGGAAAAAACUAAAAGGAGGAGCAGAUAUCACUCCUGCUCUUCACGGAGACGCAUAAAAAAAAGAAGGAAGACGGUAUAAGAGAAAAAUGGGUCGAGAUGCGUGCUAAGGACACAUAUGAAGAAUUUCAAAAAAGUUUGGAAAAUUGGUGUCAGACUCGGCCAACUUCAGAGGACGGUACCCUAGUCCAACCAUCACUCACACAAAUGACAGAGGUGGCAGGUGGUCCUAAACAAGGUAGAGUCUACAGACUUGGAGUUAUACGUUCUUCGGGUAGGCCUUCACCAUUGUCGUCUAUUGCAUAUACAUCACAAAAUGUGGAAGAAAUGGAAGAGAUGCGAAAGGAAAUAGCAGAGCUAAAAAUAAGGUGUAAAACUUCUGACUAUAGGGUUGCUAGAUUUGAAAAGCUUAUAAUGAAGUACAUGCCUCAAGCAUGUGAUGAUGAAGACGACACUGAAUCUGAUGAGGAUUAGACCGCAGUUUUUGAUUGUGAAAUUUAGAUUUGAAGUUGAUCUAUGGUUAUUAGUUUGGGAUAUUUCUUAAUGAUGUUUGCCUAGGAUGCUUUAAAUACUUUGAUGUUUUUGACUAUUUCUGUUAAUUAUGUUUGUCUAGGAUGCUUUAUGCUAUUUUGAUGAUC